GAGUAUUCUAACAGAGCCAGGGUCUCCACCUCUGAACUGAAGCCACUGCUCUGGUAUAGACAGUUCAACACUUGCUUGCCCUCUGCUCUUCCAGGCAGAAGAUCUGAACAGACGAAGAAAAGCCAAAGUAAGAACGGGUUGAUUUACCAACUUAUUUAUCUGUGAAGCACUUGUAGUGAUAAGAGCUGCACCUAAGAGCUACUCAGAAACUGGGAUAGAGGCCGCCGUGGUGACUGGCCUCAGCCUCGUGACAAGUUCAUCACUGCUGUUUGGAGACCAAAGGUGGUCACCCCACUGCACGGUGCCUUCCUGUGCUCACCAGGCUGCAGCGGCUCUGAGAAGUUUCUCCCUUUGCACAAAAAGCAGCUCUAGCGAGAGUCACCGGCUCCCUCCACACCUCUCAAGUCCAGCAUCCCUGCCUCAGCCCCCAUCACCAUCUCCUGUGUCCAGGUCCCCAGCCUCCUCAACCCCCUCCAAGUCAGAAGGUCUUCCUAAAUAUAAACCUGACACCUGCAAUUUCCAAGCCAAACUGCAGCUGAGGCACCUACUUCAACUCACACGGCUGCCACAGAUGUUGCAUUUUUAAGGGAUACAGCAGAAUUCAACAACUAUCGUCACGGUGCAAACCAUGAGUUCAGGCAGUUCUCGUUUUCCUCAUGAGAUCAGCCCACACUCCUUCCAAGGACAGCACAUCUUUGUGAAUCUGGGUACCCGGCUGAUGUGACAGAAGCGAGCAUCUUGCUAAAUACCCCAGAGACAUGAAAGCGAGGACUCAGCAGACGCUUCUGCAUCAGGGUUCACAGAAGCACUAUUCACAACAGCCAACAGGGGGCAACAGCCCAAACAGAGGCACAUCCAUCAACAGGAACAGCAGACAAAGUGCGGUGCACACGUACAGUGGGAUGGUGUUCAGCCCUAAAGAGGAACGCAGUGCUAGCACAUGCCACAACACGGAUGAACCUUGAAAGCAUCACGCCAAAGACACAUAUUAAAAUGUUUACAGAAGAAAUGACAAGAUGCCAGGGACCCGCUUCAGAAUCAUCCAGGCCUGCAGUGUCCCACUUCCCAAGCUAAACGCAUGUCUUCUGGCCAAACUCUUCUGGUGCUGCCCUCCGCUCUGCCUUCCAGGAAGACUCCCUGAGCCCUCGGGAUGAGCUUCCAACGAGCAGCCGUGCAUCAUCAAGCCCACAAUGUCCGGAAGCAAGAGGGUUGAAGACUGAUUUGUACCCAGCAAGGAACCAGAACCUGUGCCAUCAGCGUCAGGUGUGACUGAAACUGCAGCUUGCCCUCCAUCUCCUGUUGCUGACAAUCCUUCAGCUCUACUAUCUCCCACGUGAGUUGCUCUUCUUGCCUGUUCACUGGUGCUGGCGUCUGUAUGCCAGCUAUUGUACUGUACUUUUCAG
ensembl:lncRNA